GGAUGUGCACGCUCGGCUGCUGCUCUCCUCGGCAGGCUGCCUGCUGCCAAGCUCUCCCGCCAUAGCGGUGAUGGUGUUUGCUCUGCCUUGAGCCACAAUCCUUUCCUUCCAUGAGCCGCCUUGGCAGCGGUGUUUCAUCCCAGCAGCAGAAAAGUGAUUAAAACACACGGAUAUUCUUAAGACAUGAAAUGCCAUCCGCGGCAACACGGUGACUCGUGCCGCCAACAUCCUUAACAUCGGAGGGGCACGCAGGACAGCUGGGCGGAAAAUGACUCACCGAGAGGCGAGCUUCCCACCUGCUAUAAAAAUACCCUGCAGCUUAGGUAGAAAACCAGAUCCUCACUUGAUUGACAGGUCUUCUAGAGAGACAAAGACAACGUGAGAGAUCAGUGGAAGCCGCAGCUGUGUUAUUUGGCUUUGACAGCCACAUCAGGACACAUUGCUCACCACGGAAGUGGAAAAGCAUAGCCAUAGCCCACGAACUGUGGCAGCUGGUAGAGCAGCCUACUGCUGCUCUAUGAUGUCAGGCUGCUGUGGCAGGGGCAAGGGGCCCACACCAUAGCUCUUGUUACCGUGUGGAUAUGAAAAUCCCCCCCCCAAAGACUCGUGAGCUUAAGCCUUGAUCCCUGGCUGAUGGAGAUAUUUUGGAAGGUUCUAGAAACUUUAGGAGGUGGGACCAGGAAGUACGUUACCAGGGGAGAGCUGUCUGUCAUCCUGGGUCAUCUCUCUGUUUCCUGUCUUCUAGAAGACAGUCCGCCCUUCCCCCAUGCUAUGUCCCCACAGUGUUAUGUCUCACUGCAGGCCAGAGUCAGCAGAGGAUGUAGAGAACUCAAGCUGGAACUGUCGGAAGCUUCCUUCCUGCUGGCUAGUCAUCGUGGCAGAAGGUGCUACGCAGGCUGAUGGAGACACUUGUCCUCAGUAAGUUGUAGGCUAACAAGGGUAACCGUUAGCUUCAGUCAGUGAGCAAUGGCAACUGCAGAGACCCAAAGGCUUGUGAAUAAGUGACUGUUGAGUCCUCUGCCGUAAGCGGACCAUCUGUCUCACUCUGCACAGCUCAGAGAGCGCCGGGGAGGAAGGGACAGAGAGACUGAGAGAGCAGGGGAGGAGCAGAGUGUCAUCCAACACUGGACCUCUGGCAUAUGUGACCGUGGCACUCAUGAACUCAGCAGCAGUGCUGUCCUGCACAGUCACCACAGGAUCGAGCGGUCAUCACCAUCCUCUCUGCUGUGGAGGGGAGAGGGACUCACAAGGUGUCCUCACCAGCCCCUGAGGAAUUGGUUGAUAGAGAAGGAAGUGCUGUAGCCAUUGGCUGUGCUCAUGGAAAUAAUGCUAAUGGAAGC